UCCAAAGCAGGAGGAAGAUCUUGUGAUAGUCACCAGGUCCCCAGCUGCCUGCGGGGCCAGCCUGGGGGUGCCUGUGUGUCCCUGUGCCCUGGUGACACCACGUGGGCUGCUGGGAAGACGGAGGCCGCUCCAUAUUCUUGGCUUGUCACUUUCUGGCAGGACAAGGUGGUCGAUUUGGUUCCUGUGUCAUGUCCUGCUGUGGCUGUGAGUGUCCCCAGAGCCCCCGUGGGA
rnacentral:lncRNA from 1 species